UGUGUCUCCCAUGAACAAGAUUCUGAAGCCUGGGAUUUACGUUGGACUAAAAGGCUUCUUCGUCUUCUGCCUAAAACCCUGCAGCAGCGACUUGAUUGUUCUCCUGUUGCCAUCCUUGCUUCCCUUAAAUCUACUUGCCGCCAUCAUCUUCCCAAAAUACAGGUAAAGUCAUGCCACUGCUAAACUCUGUAGGACUCCUAUUGCCUCAGAAUCAAGAUUGUUUAUUCUUCCUAGCCUGGCACUCAGAGCACCUAUGAUCCUGACGCAGUCUGACUCUCUCAAAUUUAAUUUCUAACAUCUCUCCUUUCUUAACAUUUCUUAUAAUCCAACCAAGCUGUAACACUUGCCUUUAUGGGUUGG
rnacentral:lncRNA from 1 species